CCGCAGCCCGCUGGAGGUGCCGGGGGCGAAAUGCUGGCGUCUGCUCCUCCGUCUCCCAGAAUCCUGCCCUGGAAAAAACCAGCGCCAACCGCCGGUUUAACUGAGGACGGAUUUAAGGCAUUACGAAAGACAGCUUUCCCCUUUGCUCGGCUCUCCUUCUCUCUCCUGCUGCCCUGUGAAGAGGUGUCUUCUGCCAUAAUUGAAAAUCAAAUUUAACAACUGUUUCCACCAGAAAACCAUCAUCAUAAGAACCAAAAAUUAGGCGAGGACUCACAGUACCUGGGUUUAACUUCAUGUCGCUGAAAGAGGCACUGAAAAGGAAGAGGAAGACAGAGCUCUUACCAGGGGGAGGCAGAGAUGGCACAGCAAGAGACAUGCCCCCAGAAUGCCACCAAUGCCCCAGGACAGGCCCACCCAUGGGACCAGGUUAUCGGGAUAACCUGGGAGGAUGGGGUGGAAUCUGAGGGGUGAGCCUUCUUCCCCAGGCUGGAAGUGGGCGACACGAGACUGGCACCUCUACAUCUGAUUGUCCCCCAAACCCAGCAUUUAUGUCGUGAGCAAAGAAAGAAAUCAUGUUACUUCUUCCAGCUGAUGUUCCACUUGUUUCUUCUGCUGUUUCUGUGGGGAGAGUCAAAUUCAGGUGACUGAGGGUGGCCCCCUCAGCUCUAUUCCCCAGACCAGGAAGCGGUAGGCAGGGGCCAGGAAUGGAUUUUAAAGGCAAAGUUCUCAGACCCAAUGGCAACACAAACUGGUCAACUCUCCUCAAGCUCCCAAGGACACAGGAUGUGGGUCUUUGUUGGUUUUUGCCCACAGCCACAGAACUCAAAGUCUGAAUCUGGAUUCUCUCAAAAGGACAGUAACAUAAACCUCCAGAGACGGAGUCUGAGAAAGGCCCACCCUUCUGCCAGCUUGUGAUUUAGAAAGGUGCGUUCAUUCAAUGAACAUUUACUGAGCACACACAGGCCAGGUACAGUUCUUCACAACAGAGAUACAGGACAGAAAAGGACAGACAGGAGGCCUUCGCCCUGAGGUUUCCAUUCUAGGGGACUUUAAAUCUCAGACUCUCAGAGCUAACAGAGACCUUUGAUACUCUCUACCUCCUCUGGAAACACAAGCCCAAGGAGGAGAGGUGGCUUGUCCAGACUCAAGGGCAAAUUAGAGACUGAGUCAGGGCAGAAAUAUGGGGCCCCUGACAACCAAUCAGGCUAGCGCUUCCCUGAGAGGUGACAACCCCAGGGCGUGUGUGGCAAGGACUGGAGCAGGGGUACCUGAAGAAGAGAGAGUCAGCAAAGAGGGCAGCAAUGGAAGAGCCAUGCUGCAUGCUCCUUGCUCUGGGGUCCCUCUAGGUGAGGCAUGGGCACCCCAGCUCUCCAUUUGUCCUUGGCACCAGGGGCCCCCAGCCCCUUUAUUCAGGGCCCCAAGGGGAAACUGGAGCCCAGGAUUGGCAGAGUGGAAUCAGGGGACUCUACUGGACUCUUACCAAUGACUAUGUUUUCAAUGAGUUGACUGAUUGUUGCAGAGCUCAAGUCCAGGGCUACUGCUAGUUCUUGGUACCGGCUCUGAGGUGCAUACAGAGAGGAGGAGUUGGAGGAGGACUGCAGGGAGAGGUAGAGAGAACAAUCAUUAGGGCUGGGGUGUGUGUGGGCUGUCUCAGCUGGCAGAGGGGCACCCAGCCCCCACUGUGAGAGGAGGUUGGAGGGCUGGCCUGCAGGGUCACUGCACCUCAGCCUAGGGCCUCUUACCUCCAGAUCCUUUAGGGUAGCAGAUGAUGCAGGGGUAAUAAAAAUGAGAAAUUCAAAGAAACAAAAACUUCCAUGGGAAACAGUUAUGGAUAUAGAGAAAGUAUAAAAACAGCAAGGGACUGGGCACGGUGGCUUGCGCAUGUAACUCCAGCACUUUGGGAGGCUGAGGCUGGUGGAUCACUUGAGGUAAGGAGUUCAAGACCAGUCUGUCCAACAUGGUGAAACCUCGUCUCUACUAAAAAUACAAAGAUUAGCUGGGCAUGGUGGCAGGUGUCUG
rnacentral:lncRNA from 10 species